GCGCAGCUCAAUUAUUGCGCGGGCUGGGGGCGGGGCCUGCGGGGAAGGGACAGAGCCAAGCCCAGCCUUGAGCCAUCCUCGCCCCUGUGGCGGAAAUGGGAGGGUGCCUGGAGGAGUGGAGGGAUUGGAUUUACACCCUCUUUUCCCUCCGAAGCCUCCUUGGUGGGGGCGAAGAAAGACCAUCCAACCCUGCCAAAGGCAAAAGGAUUAAGGAUAAAUGAAAGCAAGAUAAUGUAGAAGAACUACUUAGCUGCUGGGUUUUUGGAGAUGAGUGAUUUUUUUUUGUAGGGAGAAAUUAUGAAACACAUUGAAAUGGACAAAAAAUUACUGAAUGUCUUCAAUGAAAAAACAGCCAUAGUUUGGCACACCGUCCCGGGCAUUCUGUUGCUAGAGGGGCUGUCCGCUUUUCUUUGUGGUGCUCUGCACAACUCGUUCCCUCUGGAAAGGCAUCAGGGGAGGCAUUUGGGAAAGCUGGCACUUUCCUUUUGCCCUUCACAUCACAUGAUUGAUUGGAAAAAUGGGAAAUGACAAGUGGCAUCAACAAGCGGGGCAAAGAGCUAGCCCAGUCAACCUACGAUGGGCCCCAUUCAAGGGGCACAGAGGGACAGAGGGACAGAAGGCUGAAGACUGGCUGGCUGGGGUGCAGCGAUGCUACAGAACGCCCCAUGGGACUUGGCAUGAAUAGGAAGCGUGGCCAGAUUAAGGACAUCCAAGAACUAGCUGCAGCAGGAAACUAGGCCAGGAGAGGCAAUGGGAAGGAACUACCUGGCAGGAACCUGGCAGAGCUGAAGCUCCCCAUAGAUUGAGGAAUGCAGCCGGCACCUGAGCUCAGCAAGGUAAGGAUGGGGCAGAGAAGGUUCUCAAGCAAUAUUCUGAAAUGAGCAUGAAUCGAUGAAUCAUUUUCCAGAGCUUGGGGGCUUUCCAGGGACAGUGAGCCCCAGGAAUCUGACACAUGGACUCUUACCAAGAGAAAUGGAAUUCCUGAGUGGGGACUGCACAGGAAGCAGUAACGCUUUUCAGCAUAAACUGUAGUCAUCCUGGCCAGGGCUGCAGGCAAGUGAGGGAGCAGCUGCGCCCGGGGUCUAGCAAAGCCCUGGUUCCUCCAGUGAGACCCAAAGCAUCUCCUGAAGGAAGGUCUCUUAAACGACCCUCAGAAUCGGAUUUCGCUCUGCAUCGAGUUUUCUGAAACUUGAAGAUCAAAUGCUGAGGUUACACAGCGACAUGCAAAGUCCUCCCCAGUAUGGACCACAUUGAAGCAGGUGUGAGGCAGACACCAGGGCUUCCCAGCCACCAGGCUUCUUUGGCCACUUUUUCGUCUUGUCCUGGUAGAAGGUGGCCAUGAAUCCAAGCACCCCUUCCAGCCUCACGAGAUGAAUUAAUUAGCCUAAACUGUUUGUGGUAAUUCCUUUCCCCUUGUGAGCAAUUUGGCACUUUUUGGCACCCAGUCUCUGGUGUGACCUCGCCAUCCUCAUUGGCACAGCCACCCUGGGAACAAAAGCCAUCCUCACGUGUCGCUGAGAUCCCAGCCAUGUGCACACUCAGCCCAGGUAGGCUGCAAGGGCAGAAGCCUCUGAGACCCACUGACUCUUAGCCUUAAUUCUUCCAAAUCAACUUUAAUUUGCCCCAAAUCCCCACACACCAGGACUGUGCCCAGGCUGUGGGGGUCUUACACAGCGUGAAAACUUCAGGAACUUCCUGCUGUCAUCAGUUACUGGUCUUCCUAUUUACCGUUUGGACAACCACAGACUGAAGGAAUCUGAAAUGGACCCGUCGGGUCAGUGGCUCUGAGCCACUGUGGGAAUGUCUGGCAAGGCUGGAAGCCCUGGGGUCUAAGGUCCAGGGGGCCAAGGUGCACCUGGGCUGGCCUUUUGUUCACAGGCUUCCCUGUGAUCUCCCUCCAGCCUGGGAGAAAAAAAAAAAUCUCUCUUCCAUGCUCCUCUCAAAGGCACCCCCUGCAGGACAUCCACACGGUCUCUCUGGGAGCUUGGGCUUUUAUUAAAGACACAGCAAGCCUGCCUUGCCAAAAUCCCUCAGACAAGGCCAUGCCAAGGGCUGGCGACCUCCUGGUAAUGUGAGAAGACACCAGAAGAACACGUACUCCUUUUUCAAUUAACUGUCCCCCCAUCUUUCCGAGGAAAUCUGACUCCUGUACCAAGCUUGCCUUCUAAACAGGUUGAGAGCCUAGAAGCCAAGGGACAGGGCUGUGAGGGGAAAGACUGGGCCCAGCCAGUGAGUGGGGGGCAGCCUGGGAGGAGCAUGUUGGCAGCAUGAGCCCAGCAGGGAAAGAAGGCCUCUGGCCUCUGUCCUGAAUGGCAGGAGGAAGUCACCGUCGGCCACCCUCACAGCCCAGGGUUGGGGCUUCUGGAGUGACUGAUAUCACCCCACGUAUGAAUCUGGCCCUGAUGCCAAGGACUGUGAUUCAACAAGGCAACUGGGGCCAUACACAGGGGUGCUGGGCCCUGUAGGAGACAGUGGCAAGGCCCUGCUCUCAGGCUCCUGGGUCCCAGUGGGGAGGCAGCCUCAUGCAUGGAUCCUUAGCCCGUGAGGAGCAGGAUGGCUGCAAUAAGGAGGAGGAAGCCUGAACAGCUGAUUCCUCCUUGGGCGGUGGGUGGGGUUGGCUCUGUGGGAUCUGAGAAGGCUUCUUGGGAGAGGUUGGGUUUAAGUUAGGACCUUGAGACAGGCAGGAGGAAGCCAUUCUAGAGAAAGGUGGCAGUUUCUGGGAGGGGUUUAUAAUUGAAGCUGGGGCAUCAGGGGUAUGUCAGAAGAAGGAGGGGCAGUGGAAAAUAAGCUUGUAAAAACAGCUUGAGGCCAAACCACAAAGAACACUGAAUGCCUGGGGAGGGGGAGUUUAGUUUGAAUUUUUAUUGUUUAUGCAUGGUCAUAGUUUAAGGAUCCCUGCCCCCAGUCUCAGAUUUUGCCUUUUCCUGCUUCCCAAGCUUUCAGCUGGUUCUUUUAGUAUUUACCUUCAUAGCUGUAAAUAUUAUGCUUAGAUUACUAUUUGAUUUUUCUACUUAUAAUGUCAUUCGUUGAGUUUCUGCUACAGAAGAUGAGAUGUUUAUGUAUAGUGAGAGCAGUAUACAUAAACAUACUUCCUAUCCCUUCAAAUAGAGUUACAUUAUAAUUUUAGUUCAUUAAUAGUUUGCAUUACAUUAUUAUUACUACAUCAACAAUACUCACAGCUGAAUCAUAUAGUAGACCAUGGUAACCUUUUGCUUGCUUAUUUUGUACUUUUCCUGAAAUUAAUCAUUACCUUGUUGUUUGCUUCUUUGUUUUAGUUUGUUUAAGUUUCUAAGUACUUAUUACUAAUGAAACCCCAAAGUUUUUGUCAAGUAUAGACAUCUCCUUUCAGGCUGUUCAGAAAGCCUGUGGUGUCCUACCAACUUCACCCUCCUGGGAAGCUCUUCUGAACCCUAGAGUCCUGUGCAUAACCAUUUGGGAAAAUCCCUUCAUCUCUCUCCUGGGUUAAGGUCCCCUUGCCUUCUUCCUCAUUUCACCCCUAUGUUUUGAUAGAGCACAUCCCCCAGUAGCUUUCUGAGAAAAGGUGCAUUUGGGGCCGUGAUACUUGAAUACCUGGAAAAGUCUUUUCUACCCUUGCAGUUGAUUGAUAGGUUGGCUGGGUAUAGGUUUUAGGUUAGAAAUCAUUUUCCUUUAGAAUUUUGAAAACACUGCUCCAUUGCUUUAAAAAAUGUUGCAACUGAGAAACAUAAAGCCAGCUUGAUUUCUGUCUCCUUUGUAUGUGAUGGGAUUUUUUUUUUCUGUUCUUCUGGGAGCUUUUACAUCUUCUCUUUGUCCCCAGUGUUGUGAAAUUUCACAAUAACCGACCUUGCUGUAGGUCUCUUCAUCCAUUGUGCUGGAAUGGGCCCUUUUAAUGUGGAAACUUGUCCCUCUUGUCUGGGACAUUUUCUUGAAAUAUUUCCUUGACAAUUUCUCUGACAGUAGGUAUUUUUUUCCACCCUUUGAAUAUAGAUGGAAAUACCAUUUUCCCCAGAAUGUAACCAGAUCUUGUCGUUCUAGAAUGUAGCCAGGGAAGCAAAGGCAUCCAGCUAAGUUUGCCUGUGGUAGGAGUCAGAGCGUAAGCUUACUUUGGAAAGGGAGUUCUGCGGUCCACUUUCUGCCUCCGCUGAAGGCCUUCAUGUCGAUGAAGUGCCUGGGAGGUCCUAAGUCUCAUCUUAUUAGAGAAACUGCUCCUGAACAGCCUAAGAUGUCACCCCAUGCAUCAGUUCAUAGUCUCUUACUCUGCUUGAUUUUACUUGCCACAUCAUAGGUGCUCAAUGCUCAUUGUUUGUCAAAUUGAAUUAUUUGGGACACAAUUUUCCCGUCUGUAAAAUGAAGGUGCUGGACUAGAAUUCUAAAAGUCCCAGUAGCUCCAAUGUCCAACAACUAUGCUUAUGUCACUGUGUUGGAAAAUGACUUAUAAAAGGGAAUGAAAUAGUCUCUGUAAAUAUGUUUCUCUGCCCACAUUUAAUGAAUUGUCUACCACAAUGAGGGGGAGUCCUAUUU
rnacentral:lncRNA from 10 species